AGCGAACGCUGGCGGCAGGCUUAACACAUGCAAGUCGAGCGCCCCGCAAGGGGAGCGGCAGACGGGUGAGUAACACGUGGGAACGUACCCUUCAGUUCGGAACAACCCAGGGAAACUUGGGCUAAUACCGGAUACGUCCGUAAGGAGAAAGAUUUAUCGCUGAAGGAUCGGCCCGCGUCUGAUUAGCUAGUUGGUGAGGUAAUGGCUCACCAAGGAUACGAUCAGUAGCUGGUCUGAGAGGAUGAUCAGCCACAUUGGGACUGAGACACGGCCCAAACUCCUACGGGAGGCAGCAGUGGGGAAUAUUGGACAAUGGGGGCAACCCUGAUCCAGCCAUGCCGCGUGAGUGAUGAAGGCCCUAGGGUUGUAAAGCUCUUUUAGCAGGGAAGAUAAUGACGGUACCUGCAGAAAAAGCCCCGGCUAACUUCGUGCCAGCAGCCGCCGUAAAAC
rnacentral:rRNA from 1 species